UGGGAUGUCGCCAAGUGGUAAGGCAACGGGUUUUGAUCCCGUCAUUCGCAGGUUCGAAUCCUGCCAUCCCAGCCA
rnacentral:tRNA from 3 species